rnacentral:lncRNA from 1 species
ACACGGAAGCAACUGCAAGGACUAAGGGAGUCCGCAGCCUGGGGCAUUGGAGCCCUUCGCCAUACCCCUAGUGCGUCCUCACCCCCUCAGCCCGUGCUUCCCAGGGCGGGUAUCCUCGGAAGGCCCGGCCCUCACAGCCUUGGCAGGCCAAGGUCAGAAUGAUUGGAGUUGGGGGAUGGGACGGGGGCAUCCCUCCAGGACCAGCUCUCCAGGAGGCCCACAUUCUUUCUGCGGGAACCACUCCAAAGGGGCAUGCUGUUCCAGGCAGCCCCUCGCGCAGACACUCCGGCUUUGUCGAGGGCCCACAACGCGUCCCCGGUGAUGUUCAUGCCCACCUCCCAGUAGUGCCUCCCAGAGGAGAAGGCCGUCUGGCCCACAGCACAGGGAGCCCCCAGUGCCUCACCUAAGCUGAGCUACCCUGUCAGCCCACGGCCACACGCCUGAGGUCCUGCAACUCAGGAGAGGCGGAGGGACCCCUUCCAGGCAAGUGGCCACUCAACACUGACCCUCCUCUCCCAUUUCAGGUGGGUGCAGCCCACUCAGCAGGAAUGGGGUGGGGGCGCAAUUGGGUGCAGUUUGGGGAGGGAGGGGGGUGGGUAAGAGACUGAGGCACCUGGGGAUUUUCUGUAGCCUCUUUAGGGAUUCAGAGUUCCCUAAAGAGAUCACUGUUUACUUCUCUGGCCUGGAAGCUACAAGGGACUUGUUUUCCAAAGGCCAUAUUUCUAGUUGCCAGAGCGUGACCCUAACUCUAGGCAGGGACUCUCAUGCAGGUGGCGCGCUUGGCCCUCUGCUCAUAGGAGCACCCUUCUACCAGCUGCAGGGGCUUUUCCCUCAGUUGGUCAGCAAACCAAUGUAGUGGGUUGUGAACAGGCUGCUUUGUUUUUCCUUUUCCUUUUUUUUUUUUUUCCUAGAUGUGAUCUCACCAUCACCCAGGGUGGAGUGCAGUGGCGCAAUAGCUCACUACAGCCUUGAACUCACGGGCUCAAGCAGUCUUCCUGCCUCAGCCUCCUGAGUCCUGGGACCACAGGCGCACGCCACCAUGCCCUGCUAAUAUUUUUAAGUUUUUGUAGAGAUGGCGUCUUAUCAGCCGUAAUCAAGCCCCCUCUCCAGGGCCAUGGCACACAGGCUGGUCCCGGCAGACAGGCUGGCUGCUUCACCUCCCCACUGCCGUUGCCACACAACUCACUCCUGGGACAGUGCACCUCCUCCACACCGAGACAUGGAGUCCCUGUCCCAAAGCCACACCUGGCUGCCAGGUGUCCCAAGCCACCUCUCUGGACUUGGAAGGAAAUGGGGACACUGUCUCAGGUUGGAACCUGUAAGGGGCUGACUUGUGUCCCCACUAAUUCACAGGUUGAAGCCUGAACCCUCAGGACCUCAGAAUGUGACUGUGUUUGGAGAUAGCAUCUUUAAGGAGGGAGUUGAGGUCACUGGGGUGGGCCCUAAUCCAGUCUGACUGGUGUCUUUAUACAAGGAGAUGAUUAGGACAGAGACGUGCAUAGAGAGAUGAUGCCAUGAGGACGCGGGGAGGAGACGGCAUCUUCAGGCCUAGGAGAGAGGCUCAGGAGGAACCAGGCCUGCCCGCACCUUGGCCUCAGCCACCCAGCCUCCAGGACUAGCAGACUGGGAGCUAACAGCCCUUUCCCGUUGGCUGCCUCUUCCCCAAGCCCAGCGCCCCCUGCCCAUGCCUGUCAGAGCUCACAUCCCACCCUGCCUGCCAAGCCUACUGGCUCACCUGCAGCAUCUGGAGGGGCCCCUGUGUGCUCCGCUCCUCCAGCUGCAGCAGCAGCAGCUCCAGAGAGUGACCCUGCCGGUCCAGGCAGGCCACGCUCUCCCGGAGCCUGCUGGCAGUCUCCUCUUCUUCCGUCUCCAGAGCCUGGAGGAGCCUCUGCUCUUCUUCCACCAGGUAGAGGUUCAUCUUCUCAAACUCCAGCACAAUGCGUUCUCUCCGCUCCUUCACCUUGCCCUGCAGGAGUGGAGAAGCCCAGCAUGUUGCCAGCAGGUGGCUCAGCUCCAGGGAUGCUGGCACCUCUCCCCAGGGCCCUGGUGACCCACAAGAUCACCAGCAACUGGAGCUUUAGUUGGGGACCAGGAACUGUGACAGAGGCCCCCACCUCUGCCAUCCUGUGAUACACUGAGUGUAACCCUCCGAGCCCCGAACUGCAACUUCUACACAUCCAAACACCCAUGCACCCUUGCUCUGAGGAGGUUCAGAAUGUCCACCCCCAGAUAAGCCUCUUGGGCAUGUUAAACAAAAUUUAUGGGU